rnacentral:lncRNA from 10 species
AAGCAGGUUGCCCUCCCUAAUGUGGGGGAGCCUCAUCCAAACAGUAGAAGGCCUGAAUAAAACAAAAAGACCAAUUCUCCCCUGAGGAAGAGAAAAUUCCUCCUACCUGACUGCCUCUGAACUAGGACGCUGGCUUUUUCCUGCCUUUGGACUUGAAUGGAAGCACUGGCUAUUCCUGGGUCUUGAGCUUGCUGGCUCUUAAAAUGGAACUAACUACCCCAUGGGCCCUCCUGGGAAUCCAACUUGCAGACUGAAGCUACAUUCACUUCAGUGAAGGCUUGACGUCAUCAGGCAGCAUUAGCAUCACCUGGGACUUUUCAAGCCUCACCUCAGACCUACUAAAUCCGAGUCUGCAUUUUAAGAAGCUCCCCAGGUGAUUAAUCCCCACAAUAAAGUUUCAGAAGCAUUGAUUUAAAGGAUC